GACCAUUCCUCACAGUCCUGUCAGUGAAGAUAGGAAAAGAAUGUAAAGGCUGUUGAACAUGAAGUCUUGCCACCAUGUGACCACAGGCGGUGGGUGAAAUGAGUCCCCAUGCAGGUUUUGUCUUCUGGAUGAUUGCCGGGACUCUGCAGGGUCAGCCGAGAUCCUUCCUCCAUACUCUCAUCUGGGCUCUCCGCCGUCAACCCUGAC